rnacentral:rRNA from 1 species
CCCAGUUCGGAUUGUAGUCUACAACCCGACUACAUGAAGCUGGAAUCGCUAGUAAUCGCAGGUCAGCAUACUGCGGUGAAUACGUUCCCGGGUCUUGUACACACCGCCCGUCACACCAUGGGAGCCGGAAAUGCCCGAAGCCAGUGACCCAACCUUAGGGAGGGAGCUGUCGAAGGUGGAGCCGGUAACUGGGGUGAAGUCGUAACAAGGUAAC